rnacentral:tRNA from 1 species
GGGGAGAUGGCUUAGCUGGUAAAGUGUUUGCUCCCAGAGCAUGAAGACCUGAGGUCAGUUUCCCCA